UACGUAGGGGGCAAGCGUUGUCCGGAAUUAUUGGGCGUAAAGCGCGCGCAGGCGGUGACUUAAGUCUGGUGUAUAAAUUCAGGGCUCAACCUUGGAGCGCACUGGAAACUGGGUGACUGGAGUGUAGGAGAGGAAAGUGGAAUUCCACGUGUAGCGGUGAAAUGCGUAGAGAUGUGGAGGAACACCAGUGGCGAAGGCGACUUUCUGGCCUAUAACUGACGCUGAGGCGCGAAAGCGUGGGGAGCAAACAGG
rnacentral:rRNA from 1 species